rnacentral:rRNA from 1 species
AUUGAACGCUGGCGGCAUGCUUUACACAUGCAAGUCGAACGGUAACAGGGUGCUUGCACCGCUGACGAGUGGCGAACGGGUGAGUAAUGCGUCGGAACGUGCCGAGUAGUGGGGGAUAACGCAGCGAAAGUUGUGCUAAUACCGCAUACGUACUGAGGUAGAAAGUGGGGGACCUUCGGGCCUCACGCUAUUCGAGCGGCCGAGAUCUGAUUAUCUAGUAGGUGAGGUAAAGGCUAACCUAGGCGACGAUCAGGAGCGGGUCUGAGAGGAUGAUCCGCCACACUGGGACUGAGACACGGCCCAGACUCCUACGGGAGGCAGCAGUGGGGAAUUUUGGACAAUGGGCUAAAGCCUGAUCCAGCCAUGCCGCGUGUCUGAAGAAGGCCUUCGGGUUGUAAAGGACUUUUGUCAGGGAGGAAAUCCCUAGUGCUAAUAACACUGGGGGAUGACAGUACCUGAAGAAUAAGCACCGGCUAACUACGUGCCAGCCGCCGCAGUAA